CCGACAAAGUCCGUAGAGACAACCUGCGUGUAAGAGUUUUGAAGAUUAAGUGUGGGUCGCAGAGCAAGGACCUCCAGGAGUCCAGGCCCUGGGAAGAUGGCUGGAGCUAUGGAAGUGAAAAGACAGUCUCCAAAUCCUUACCUUCUUGGAAUACAUGUACUAGUAGGAUCAACAGGCACGGCUGUCGCAGCAGCUGGACAACGGUGACAUUGGUGAGGACGAUGUCGCGUUUCGACAUGGCCUCUUAAGGUUUCAUGGCCUAGCC